CCCUUAGAUGUUCUGGGCCGCACGCGCGCUACACUGACGAAUGCAACGAGCUUAUAACCUUGGCCGAAAGGUCUGGGUAAUCUCCAAAUUUCGUCGUGAUGGGGAUAGAUUAUUGCAAUUAUUAAUCUUCAACGAGGAAUGCCUAGUAAGCGCAAGUCAUCUGCUUGCGUUGAUUACGUCCCUGCCCUUUGUACACACCGCCCGUCGCUCCUACCGAUUGAAUGGUCCGGUGAAGCGCUCGGACCGCGGCCUCUUGACGGUUUUCCGUCGAUUGGCUGUGGGAAGUUCGUUAAACCUUAUCAUUUAGAGGAAGGAGAAGUCGUANCA
rnacentral:rRNA from 1 species